CGGUUGAUCCUGCCGGAGGUUACUGCUAUCGAGGUUCGACUAAGCCAUGCGAGUCGAAUGUAGCAAUACAUGGCGUACUGCUCAGUAACACGUGGAUAACCUACCCUUGAGAUGGGGAUAAACCCGGGAAACUGGGUAUAAUACCCAAUAGGUCUCGACUGCUGGAAUGCAUCGAGCUCCAGAGCUCCGGCGCUCAAGGAUGGAUCUGCGGCCUAUCAGGUAGUAGUGGGUGUAGCGUACCUACUAGCCUACGACGGGUACGGGUUGUGAGAGCAAGAGCCCGGAGAUGGAUUCUGAGACACGAAUCCAGGCCCUACGGGGUGCAGCAGGCGCGAAAACUUUACAAUGCUGGAAACAGCGAUAAGGGGACCUCGAGUGCCAGGUUACAAAUCUGGCUGUCGUGAUGCCUAAAAAGCAUUGCAUAGCAAGGGCCGGGCAAGACCGGUGCCAGCCGCCGCGGUAACACCGGCGGCUCGAGUGGUAACCGUUAUUAUUGGGUCUAAAGGGUCUGUAGCCGGCCGGAUAAGUCUCUUGGGAAAUCUGGCAGCUUAACUGUCAGGCUUUCAGGAGAUACUGUCUGGCUCGAGGCCGGGAGAGGUGAGAGGUACUUCAGGGGUAGGGGUGAAAUCUUGUAAUCCUUGAAGGACCGCCAGUGGCGAAGGCGUCUCACCAGAACGGACCUGACGGCAAGGGACGAAAGCUAGGGGCACGAACCGGAUUAGAUACCCGGGUAGUCCUAGCCGUAAACGAUACUCGCUAGGUGUCGGCAACGGUGCGACCGUUGUCGGUGCCGUAGGGAAGCCGUGAAGCGAGCCACCUGGGAAGUACGGCCGCAAGGCUGAAACUUAAAGGAAUUGGCGGGGGAGCACCACAACGGGUGGAGCUUGCGGUUUAAUUGGAUUCAACGCCGGAA
rnacentral:rRNA from 1 species